rnacentral:rRNA from 1 species
UACGGAGGGGGCUAGCGUUGUUCGGAAUUACUGGGCGUAAAGCGCACGUAGGCGGCUUUGUAAGUUAGAGGUGAAAGCCCAGGGCUCAACCCUGGAAUUGCCUUUAAGACUGCAUCGCUUGAAUCAUGGAGAGGUGAGUGGAAUUCCGAGUGUAGAGGUGAAAUUCGUAGAUAUUCGGAAGAACACCAGAGGCGAAGGCGGCAACCUGGCACGUUACUGACGCUCAUACACGACAGCAUGGGGAGCGAACGGG